GAUGAACGCUGGCGGCGUGCCUAAUACAUGCAAGUCGAGCGAACGGACGAGAAGCUUGCUUCUCUGAUGUUAGCGGCGGACGGGUGAGUAACACGUGGAUAACCUACCUAUAAGACUGGGAUAACUUCGGGAAACCGGAGCUAAUACCGGAUAAUAUUUUGAACCGCAUGGUUCAAAAGUGAAAGACGGUCUUGCUGUCACUUAUAUAUGGAUCCGCGCUGCAUUAGCUAGUUGGUAAGGUAACGGCUUACCAAGGCAACGAUGCAUAGCCGACCUGAGAGGGUGAUAGGCGACACUGGAACUGAGACACCGUCCAGACUCCUACGGGAGGCAGCAGUAGGGAAUCUUCCGCAAUGGGCGAAAGCCUGACGGAGCAACGACGAGUGAGUGAUGAAGGUCUUCGGAUCGUAAAACUCUGUUAUUAGGGAAGAACAUAUGUGUAAGUAACUGUGCACAUCUUGACGGUACCUAAUCAGAAAGCCACGGCUAACUACGUG
rnacentral:rRNA from 1 species